UCCUAUGUAUGUACUGUAGAAAAUAUAUACGGAUAUUCAGCCUUAGACGUAAAAUAUUCAGCCUUCUUCAAGGCUCAAACCUUUUGUCCUCUGUCCAAUUUCCCCAUCCUUCCCGUCGAAUCAGAAACCCUAGCUUCACCACGCCGGGAUGACCACAUCCGCCACCGCCGAUGCGACGUCUCCGGUGCGGACCGUGACGGAGGGAGAAACCCCAGCAGCGGCGGAUGUUGGGGCAGCGGUCGAAGAGGGUGAGGAGAUGAAUGUGGGGGCCGCGGCUGCAGAUGAGGAGCAUGGUCAGGUGGAGCUUGAGGAGGAUCCUGACGAGCAGGUGGAGGAUGAGGAGGAAGUGCAAGGGGAUGCAGGGGAGGUGGAGGGUGGGGAUGUGAUGGGGGCGGCGUUGAUCGAGCCCCUGGUGGCGUUGAAGCCCGGGGAGGAGGACGAACCCGAAGAGCUGGAUGAGGAAUCCGAGGAGGCUACGCCUUCGGAAGAGGAGCCCGAGGAGGUGGAAGAGGGCAAGGAGGAAUACGACGAUGUUGAGGAGAAAGGCUUAGUGUGUCGAUCUGCGGCGAACGAUACGAAUGAAGUAUCCAAACAGGAACAUGGUAAAUGUGGCAACACAAAUAAGGAUAAAGUUGCUGAUGAAUUCAGCAAAGUCAGUGAUAGCUGUGGAAGUAAAAGUAAUGAUGCACAGAACUCUGAACUUGCUGGAGGUCUUGAAAUAUUUGUUGACCAAUUGCCUAAAGAUUGUGUUGAGGAAGACAUCGCAAUGGUCUUUUCUCAAUGUGGGGAUGUCAAAUCUGUUAGGAUAAUUAAAAAUUCAUCAUCCGAAAAGAACAAAGAUAUUGCAUUUGUCUGUUAUGCGAGCAUUGAAGCUGCAAAGAAGGCUCUCGUUGAAUUUAAGGAGGGAAUUGAGGUUAAAGGAGAAAAGGUCAGGGUAUCUGCUUGUCAAGAUAAUAAUGCCCUUUACCUGGGAAACAUAUGUAAGGGCUGGACCAAAGAUCAGGUGCUGACCACCUUAAAAAGUAUAGGAAUUCAAGACUGCGAGAUAAGUUUUCCCACUUCCAAGAGAGGAAGCAGAGGGUUUGCUUUUCUUAAAUUUGCCUCGCAUUACUAUGCCAGAGCAGCAUUUCGACGGUUAAUUAAACCAGAUGCUAUUUUUGGCACUGAUAGAAGUCCUAAAGUAUCUUUUUAUCAACCCCUCAUAAAACCAAGUGAGAAUCUUACAGAGGCUAAAAAAGUAUACCUGGAACAUGUCCCUCUUUCUUGGGAUGAGGAUAAAAUUAAAGAAUGCUGUCAACAAUAUGGGAAAAUUCUGAAAGUUGACCUUCUCCAGAUAUCAAAGAACAUGGAUAUUGAAACCUUUUCUUUUGUUGAAUUCUCAUCUAGCAAGAGUGCAUUAGCUUGUGUGGAAGGAAUAAACAAUGUGAAUAUUGUUGAUGGAGGCUUCAAGUUGUCUGCAUGUCUUGCUCGGCCUAAAAGUGGUUUAAAGGUCAAUAGUGGUGCAGCUUCAGAAGGUGCUACUACAUCUAAGAAGGAAAAAGCCCACACAGGGAAGGUUAUUGUAAAUAAGGAUUCACCACACAAAUUGUCAAAAGGCAAUAAGAAGAAGCUUACCUGUCUCCCAAAGGAGAUCCUUGUGAAGACGAAUUCACCAAGUAAAUUACCAAAUGAUUAUGAUGUAAACCUAACCUCACAAGAUGCUGCACUGCAAAUAUCCAAUCCUUCUAAAGGGAAGAGGAAAGUUGGGAAUUACAAAAAUGCCUCUGUAAACCAAAAACCAUCAAAGAAACAGGAAAAUAAUCGUAAUGUUGAUGGGAGCCAAGGAACCUCUCAACGUGCUGUAUUGAAAACAUCUAACAGUUCCAGAAGGAAAAGGAAACCUGGCAAGAACAAAAACAUCUAUAGAAAUGAAAGACCAUUGAAGAGAGCACACAACAAUAGUAAUAUGGAUGGAAGUUCGAGAUCUAAAGCAUAUGCCUCUGAUCUGGAACCUCAUGCUGGAUUCAUCCCUCCUGCAAGUCGAGUUCACAGCACCCAUGCAUAUGAUCGGCAAAGGGCCCUAGCGCCCACGUGUCCAGGCGCAGGUCGCGGCGGCGUCCAGCAGGUGGCGCUACCCUACGCUCGACGGCGUCGGAAGGACCGUGCGAGAAAAAAAAAUUGCCAGGGAAGGAACAGACGUGGACCCGUUUUGAAUAUGGAGAGUUUGGUUUGGAGAGUCUGUUGGUUUCCCAACCGUUUUGGAAGUUUUCUAUUUUUUUAGAGUCCUCCUAAAACUCUAAAUUUUGGCUAGGAUUAGACUCUUGGAGUUGCUCUAAGGUGUAUUUUUUUUCAUUAGGACAACCCUUUGACCAACAGUCAUUCUAUUGUAAUUAGUUUUUGUGACGCAAAAUUGAUGUUAUUAGAUUUGUAUUAUGAUUUUAUAUCACAUUAAUGAUAUAUUAAUUGAGUAAUUGUGGGUCAAAGUCCUGUCCUAAUAAACAAAAAUACGUCGUACAAAAAGAAAUGGAGGGAAUAAUAGCUAGGCAAGCAAAACUAUAGUUACCGGAACUGCGCAGGGAGGCCUUGAUCACCAUUCAAUUCGCGCGAACUGAAUUGCUCCUAAACGGUGGUCGGUAUGAGGGGCCUAGGCAAACCCCAAUGGACGAAGAGUGAGGGGCUUAGGAGAUCGGGGAGGGCAGCAGCAUGGAGGCUGUGAUACAUAAGAGUCGCUGUUGGGUAUGCUGCGUGGAUGCGAGAGUUGAGGUGUUGCUGGCAUUGGAAAAGAGCAUGCCGUGGCAGCUCAGUCUGCUAUCCCAAGGGAAACCAAGGGUACCAGAGAGAUGAGGCUGGUGCAGGUUAUCCAUUUUACUAAUCAUUUGCGAGAGAUGAUGGCCAGCAGUGAGGGAUUCAUGGUGGUGGCAAAGCUGCAUUUGUGGAAAGAAAAAGAAAGCGAGGAAAGAGGCGAGCUGAGCGGUGGAUGCUGCAGGUUUGGGUGCAAUGUAAGAAGAAAUGGAGAAUACGGUAUCCAGCCAAUAGAUCGUCAUCCUUAUGCUAGAGAAACUGCAGCUUCACGAGC